rnacentral:rRNA from 1 species
UACGGAGGGGGCUAGCGUUGUUCGGAAUUACUGGGCGUAAAGCGCGCGUAGGCGGACCUGCAAGUCGGGGGUGAAAGCCCGAGGCUCAACCUCGGAACUGCCUUCGAUACUGCGGGUCUCGAGUCCGGGAGAGGAGAGUGGAAUUCCUGGUGUAGCGGUGAAAUGCGCAGAUAUCAGGAAGAACACCUAUGGCGAAGGCAGCUCUCUGGGACGGUACUGACGCUGAGACGCGAAAGCGUGGGGAGCGAACAGG